rnacentral:rRNA from 1 species
AGUGAACGCUGGCGGUAGGCCUAACACAUGCAAGUCGAACGGCAGCACAGUAAGAGCUUGCUCUUACGGGUGGCGAGUGGCGGACGGGUGAGGAAUACAUCGGAAUCUACUUUUUCGUGGGGGUUAACGUAGGGAAACUUACGCUAAUACCGCAUACGACCUACGGGUGAAAGCAGGGGAUCUUCGGACUUUGCGCGAUUGAAUGAGCCGAUGUCGGAUUAGCUAGUUGGCGGGGUAAAGGCCCACCAAGGCGACGAUCCGUAGCUGGUCUGAGAGGAUGAUCAGCCACACUGGAACUGAGACACGGUCCAGACUCCUACGGGAGGCAGCAGUGGGGAAUAUUGGACAAUGGGCGCAAGCCUGAUCCAGCCAUACCGCGUGGGUGAAGAAGGCCUUCGGGUUGUAAAGCCCUUUUGUUGGGAAAGAAAAGCAGCAGGUUAAUACCCCGCUGUUCUGACGGUACCCAAAGAAUAAGCACCGGCUAACUUCGUG